rnacentral:rRNA from 1 species
GAUGAACGCUGGCGGCGUGCCUAAUACAUGCAAGUCGAGCGAACAGACGAGGAGCUUGCUCCGUCGACGUUAGCGGCGGACGGGUGAGUAACACGUAUGUAACCUACCUAUAAUACUGGUAUAACUUCGGGAAACCGGAGCUAAUACCGGAUAAGAUUUCGAACCGCAGGGGUCGAUGGUGAAAUAUGGCGUUUGUGUCACGUAUAGAUGGACCUGCGCCGUUUGAGGUAGUUGUUGAGGUAACGGGUUAUCAAGGGGACGAUACGUAGACGAGCUGAGAGAGUGAUCGGCCACACUGGAACUGCGACACGGUCCAGACUACUACGGGAGGCCGCAGUAGGGAAUCUUCCGCAAUGGGCGAAAACCUGACGGAGCAACGCCGAGUGAGUGAUGACGGUCUCCGGAUCGUAAAAAUCUGUUAUUAGGGAAGAACAACUGUGUAAGUAAAUGAGGACGUCUUGACGGUACCUAAUAAGAAAGCAACGGCUAACUACGUG